GUUGCAUACAAUGGUUUUGACUUCAGGAGAGAGAUCUGGGCUGGUGACUGAUUGGGAAUUGUGAUAGGUGCUGGUGAUAACCGUAAGAAUGAUGACUCACCCCAGAGGAAGAUUGUACAGUGAAAAGAGAUCUUUCAGGAACUCAACUUUUGAAGUUGAUCUUGGCAACACCUCACAUGUAACCCAAGACCAAAAUAAAGUUACAUUCGGAAGGCAGUCACAAUUCAGUGAUCUUAUCCUGCAGAACGCCUUCUCUUGACGUUUACAUCUUAUAAUUUGCCACGAUGAAGGUCAAAGGAAGACAAGAAGAAAGACAAGAACCCUUGUUUCUCCAGCUAAUGUCAGGCUCCUCACCAUUUGGCGGCAAGGAGAAGGGAUUUUGCUCUCUAUGCCCCGCAGGGACCGUGGCCCUUUCUGGGGGCACUGGGAGUGGGAAGGGACAGGAAAGGCAACACAGGCCCACCCUCCUGUACAGGGACUCCCCUCGAACUAGCACUUGGGCUGUUUCUAGCAUCUCCACAGCUGUCCCAAGAAUAAGGGAAGGAUUAGAACAGCCUAACUAGUUUAUUUCCUUCCAUGUUGGCUCUGAGUCCUGAGUCAAGGCAGACCUAGAAUCCACAGUUCUCAAGGGUGAGUCAAAGGUACAGCCUUCUUAAAAUUUCCAUUUGCUGCAGAUUUGCAUACAAUAUUCCUAUCUUCCACUUACCAGCUUUUUAAUCUUAAUGAAAUGACUUAAUGUCUGUUUAAAAGGGGAAUACUAAUACUAAAACCCAUCCCAUAAGCUUAUUGUGAAGGUGAACUUAAGAAACAUAUAAACAAAGCCUUGCACGGUGCCUGACACACAGGGGACGCUCCAAAACUUAAUACUAGCUACAUCCAAGUAAACCCCAGCUCAGUUGCUGCCUGUGUGGCCACCGGUAACUCACAUUGGCUCUUUCAUAUUCUAAGCCCGGUUGGACUGGUCCCAGACAUAUGACACAGGCUGAUGGGAUUGAAUUGGAACUUUCGGUUUUGCGUUGAAUUGGUUCCCCUGUGUAGACAGUCUGUGUGAUAGCAACCUUCUACUUCGGGGAGAAAGAGGCUGUUUGGGCAUGGGUAUUAUUUCCUUAAAUGCAGAAUAAAACAGGAUCAGCAGGAUAGUUCAGUGAAAUAUCUCGUUUGAACUUUCCCAUUCAUUUGCUCUUUUAUGCAUUCGCAGCCAGGGCUUUCCAGCUGAUCCGUUUGAUUGCUCUCAUGUACGGCGUGCGGAGACAGCAAAGAGAGGAUUCCUGUAGAUUCUGAACUUGCUAACAAAGGCUGCUAUGACUGUGGCAGGCCCCAGAACUGACAGCCAGUUUCAGUCCUUUGUAGGGGUUUAGAGAGGGAGAAAAGGCAGGGAAAGAAGAAGGGGAAGUUUUUCCAGAGAUACUGAAUCUGAAAAGCGCCAGGGUGCAGAGAAGGGCCAGGAGGAGGGAAGCUGUGGAUCCUGGAAACACCAGCAGCAGGACUGUGGACCCGGAGCCGGAGCCGGUCAGCUCGUUCUCGCUGCGGCCUCCCGUGGGGCAGAUGUCCUGCCAAUCAGCCUCCUUCCUCGUGAGGGGAGCGCAGCGCCAAGCCUCAGGGGAACGCAGGGCCAGGCUCAGCCCCGGGGCGGUGUGAUGGUUGGGUGGGGAGGGGCACACCUCUUAACUUGUCUGUAGCUAUUUAUUUUCUUAAUUUGUAAAAGUUGCUUAGACUUAGCCAUAAACAGGGGUGUUUUGAGGUUCAG